UUUCCGUAGGUGAACCUGCGGAAGGAUCAUUCAUAAUAAAGUGUUUUAUGGCACUUUUUAAAAAUCCAUAUCCACCUUGUGUGCUAUGUUAGAUCUCGUCAAUCUUGGCGAGAUUUUUAUACAUCAACUCAUUCUUUAACUAAUUUGUCUGAAAAAUAUUAUGAAUACUUAAUUCAAAAUACAACUUUCAACAACGGAUCUCUUGGCUCUC
rnacentral:misc_RNA from 1 species